rnacentral:rRNA from 1 species
AUGCUCAAGUGGAAUUUGGAACAUUCCAAAAAGUGGGGUUCAGGAAUUGUUAAAUUUAGAUAUAGGACCCUAGAAGAAGAAUAUAGGACUCACAAAAAAGAUUUUUCAUCGGAAAGAGGUCUACGAAGACUUUUGGGAAAACGUCGACGUUUGCUGGCUUAUUUGGCAAAGCUGUCACAUCGAGCCUGUUGCUGGAGAAGACAACCAAUGGAUCUGUUAUGUAGGAAAAGAAAAAAAGGAUCCUAA